rnacentral:rRNA from 1 species
AGAAUCAACGCUGGCGGCGUGCCUAACACAUGCAAGUCGAACGCGAUUGUGGCUUCGGCCACAGUUGAGUGGCAAACGGGUGAGUAACACGUGGGUGACCUACCUUCGAGUGGGGGAUAACGUCCCGAAAGGGACGCUAAUACCGCAUAACGUCCUGCCUUUGAACAGGCGGAGACCAAAGUCGGGGAUCGCAAGACCUGGCGUUUGAAGAGGGGCCCGCGUCCGAUUAGCUAGUUGGUGAGGUAGCGGCUCACCAAGGCGACGAUCGGUA